CUUGGGCUGUCAACCACUUUUCUCAGGGAAGAAGACCUGACGGUACCUGAGGAAUCAGCCUCGGCUAACUCCGUGCCAGCAGCCGCGGUAAUACGGAGGAGGCAAGCGUUAUCCGGAAUUAUUGGGCGUAAAGCGUCCGCAGGGGGCGCAUCAAGUCUGCUGUUAAAGGUCGGAGCUAAACUCCGGUAGAGCAGUGGAAACUGGUGCGCUAGAGGGCGACAGGGGUAGAGGGAAUUCCCAGUGUAGCGGUGAAAUGCGUAGAGAUUGGGAAGAACACCGGUGGCGAAAGCGCUCUACUGGGUCGCACCUGACCCUCAGGGACGAAAGCUAAGGUAGCGAAAGGGAUUAGAUACCCCUGUAGUCUUAGCCGUAAACGAUGGAUACUAGGCGUGGUUUGUAUCGACCCAAGCCGUGCCGAAGCUAACGCGUUAAGUAUCCCGCCUGGGGAGUACGCACGCAAGUGUGAAACUCAAAGGAAUUGACGGGGGCCCGCACAAGCGGUGGAGGAUGUGGUUUAAUUCGAUGCAACGCGAAGAACCUUACCAGGGCUUGACAUCCCGCGAAGUUUGGGGAAACUCAGACGUGCCUACGGGAACGCGGAGACAGGUGGUGCAUGGCUGUCGUCAGCUCGUGUCGUGAGAUGUUGGGUUAAGUCCCGCAACGAGCGCAACCCUCGUCCUUAGUUGCCAGCAUUAAGUUGGGCACUCUAGGGAGACUGCCGGUGACAAACCGGAGGAAGGUGAGGAUGACGUCAAGUCAGCAUGCCCCUUAUGCUCUGGGCAACACACGUCCUACAAUGGUCGGGACAAAGGGGAGCGAGCUCGCGAGAGUAAGCGAAUCCCAGCAAACUCGGCCUCAGUUCAGAUAGCAGGCUGCAACUCGCCUGCUUGAAGGAGGAAUCGCUAGUAAUCGCAGGUCAGCAUACUGCGGUGAAUUCGUUCCCGGGCCUUGUACACACCGCCCGUCACACCAUGGAAGCUGGCCAAGCCCGAAGUCGUUACCCUAACCCUACGGGGAGGGGGCGCCGAAGGCUGGGCUAGUGACUG
rnacentral:rRNA from 1 species